rnacentral:rRNA from 1 species
CAGGGAUUGCCUCAGUAACGGCGAGUGAAGCGGCAAAAGCUCAAAUUUGAAAUCUAGCACCUUCGGUGUUCGAGUUGUAAUUUGAAGAUGGUAACCUUGGGUUUGGCUCUUGUCUAUGUUCCUUGGAACAGGACGUCAUAGAGGGUGAGAAUCCCGUCUGAUGAGAUGCCCAUUCCUAUGUAAGGUGCUAUCGAAGAGUCGAGUUGUUUGGGAAUGCAGCUCUAAGUGGGUGGUAAAUUCCAUCUAAAGCUAAAUAUUGGCGAGAGACCGAUAGCGAACAAGUACAGUGAUGGAAAGAUGAAAAGAACUUUGAAAAGAGAGUGAAAAAGUACGUGAAAUUGUUGAAAGGGAAGGGCAUUAGAUCAGACUUGGUGUUUUACGAUUAUCUUCUCUUCUUGAGUUGUGCACUCGUAUUUCACUGGGCCAGCAUCGAUUCGGAUGGCAAGAUAAUAGCAGUUGAAUGUGGCUUCACUUGGAGUGUUAUAGCUUCUGUUGAUAUUGCCUGUCUGGAUCGAGGGCUGCGUCUUUUGACUAGGAUGCUGGCGUAAUGAUCUAAUGCCGC